UUUCCCACUGUGUGUACGAGCAGGAAGUGAGAAAUAGCACGCUGAUUUAUUAAUGCACACACUGAAAUUGAAUUCAUUUUCAUGCUUCAGUGCUGAUGGAGAAGUGGAUCAUGAUCUAAUAGCGUGUAACACACACAUCCGCGCACGCACACAACGCUUGCGAUGAUAAACAACAGGGCCGAGAUUGGAGUGUCGUGGCGUGGCGGCAACAACACAAAUGCGAUACUUCCUCUCCCGCAAAUGAAGCAGAUGAGGCUCUUGAAGGUGACGUGAGGAUGAAAGGGACAUUGUGAAU